AGGUAGGGUGGCCGAGUUUUAGGCGGCGGUUUGUAGCACCGUGUACAGAGGUUUAAGUCCUCUCUCUGUC
rnacentral:tRNA from 1 species